UACGUAGGGUCCAAGCGUUAUCCGGAUUUAUUGGGCGUAAAGCACAUGUAGGCGGAUUGUUAAGUCUCGGCUUAAAGCUCUGGGCUCAACCCAGAAUCUGGCUGAGAUACUGGCUUUCUAGUGGUCAGCAGGGGCAAACGGAAUUCCCGGUGUAGGAGUGAAAUCCGUUGAUAUCGGGAGGAACACCAAUGGCGAAGGCAGUUUGCUAGGCUGAUUCAGACACUGAGAUGUGAAAGCGUGGGGAGCGAACGGG
rnacentral:rRNA from 1 species